rnacentral:rRNA from 1 species
UGCGUAGGUGGUCGUUUAAGUCCGUUGUGAAAGCCCUGGGCUCAACCUGGGAACUGCAGUGGAUACUGGGCGACUGGAAUGUGGUAGAGGGUAGCGGAAUUCCUGGUGUAGCAGUGAAAUGCGUAGAGAUCAGGAGGAACAUCCAUGGCGAAGGCAGCUACCUGGACCAACAUUGACACUGAGGCACGAAAGCGUGGGAGCAAACA